rnacentral:rRNA from 1 species
GAUGAACGCUGGCGGCGUGCUUAACACAUGCAAGUCGAACGAAGCACUUUUAUUUGAUUUCUUCGGAAUGAAGAUUUUAGUGACUGAGUGGCGGACGGGUGAGUAACGCGUGGGCAACCUGCCUCAUACAGGGGGAUAACAGUUAGAAAUGACUGCUAAUACCGCAUAAGACCACAGCACCGCAUGGUGCAGGGGUAAAAACUCCGGUGGUAUGAGAUGGACCCGCGUCUGAUUAGGUAGUUGGUGGGGUAACGGCCUACCAAGCCGACGAUCAGUAGCCGACCUGAGAGGGUGACCGGCCACAUUGGGACUGAGACACGGCCCAAACUCCUACGGGAGGCAGCAGUGGGGAAUAUUGCACAAUGGGGGAAACCCUGAUGCAGCGACGCCGCGUGAGCGAUGAGGUAUUUCGGUAUGUAAAGCUCUAUCAGCAGGGAAGAAAAUGACGGUACCUGACUAAGAAGCACCGGCUAAAUACGUGCCAGCAGCCGCGGUAA